UCCGGCUUGACGCCGGCAGUCCCCCGAGAGUCCUCAGCUUCACCUGUUAGUAACACGGGGCAAGGGUUGCGCUCGUUGCGGGACUUAACCCAACAUCUCACGACACGAGCUGACGACAGCCAUGCACCACCUGUGAAGGUGCUCCGAAGGGAGACCGUGUUUCCACGGUUGUCACCAACAUGUCAAGCCCAGGUAAGGUUCUUCGCGUUGCGUCGAAUUGAACCACAUGCUCCGCUGCUUGUGCGGGUCCCCGUCAAUUCCUUUGAGUUUUAGCCUUGCGGCCGUACUCCCCAGGCGGGGCACUUAAUGCGUUAGCUACGGCACGGAAACCGUCGAUAGGUCCCCACACCUAGUGCCCAACGUUUACGGCGUGGACUAC
rnacentral:misc_RNA from 1 species